AGAGUUUGAUCCUGGCUCAGAACGAACGUUAGCGGCGCGCCUAACACAUGCAAGUCGAGCGAGAAAGGGCUUCGGCCCCGGUAAAGCGGCGCACGGGUGAGUAACACGUAGGUAAUCUACCCCCGAGUGGUGGAUAACUCUCCGAAAGGAGAGCUAAUACAGCAUAAGACCACGGCCUUUUCGGAGGCUGAGGUCAAAGC
rnacentral:rRNA from 1 species